rnacentral:ncRNA from 2 species
GAGGCCGAGAAGCGCUGCAACGGGCUCCAGACCCGCCACGCUCGGCCUUGUACGACCAUGAACAAGGGCGCUUCCGACUU